GCCCGUUUAGCUCAGUGGUAGAGCGUUUGUCUCGUAAACAAAAGGUCUCGUGUUCAAUCCACGAAGUGGGCA